GUGGCGGACGGGUGAGUAACGCGUAGGUAUCUAUCCAUGGGUGGGGGAUAACUCUGGGAAACUGGGGCUAAUACCGCAUGACACCUGAGGGUCAAAGGCGCGAGUCGCCUGUGGAGGAGCCUGCGUUCGAUUAGCUAGUUGGUGGGGUAAUUGCCUACCAAGGCGAUGAUCGAUAGCUGGUCUGAGAGGAUGAUCAGCCACACUGGGACUGAGACACGGCCCAGACUCCUACGGGAGGCAGCAGUGGGGAAUAUUGGACAAUGGGCGCAAGCCUGAUCCAGCAAUGCCGCGUGUGUGAAGAAGGUCUUCGGAUUGUAAAGCACUUUCGACGGGGACGAUGAUGACGGUACCCGUAGAAGAAGCCCCGGCUAACUUCGUGCCAGCAGCCGCGGUAAUACGAAGGGGGCUAGCGUUGCUCGGAAUGACUGGGCGUAAAGGGCGCGUAGGCGGUUUGGACAGUCAGAUGUGAAAUUCCUGGGCUUAACCUGGGGGCUGCAUUUGAUACGUCAGGACUAGAGUGUGAGAGAGGGUUGUGGAAUUCCCAGUGUAGAGGUGAAAUUCGUAGAUAUUGGGAAGAACAUCUAGUU
rnacentral:rRNA from 1 species